AUAAAUUGCUGCUCUUCUCAGCCUCAGCCUUGUUGGGUUUUAAUCCGAAGACCUCCGACAGCAACAUGAAGUUGGGAGGCUUCCUCCUGCUUGUGACCCUAGUCACCCUCAGCUCAGUGGUGCAGGAGCUUCAGGCGGUGGUGAGACCGUUUAGACUUUUUGGCACCUGUGUUGAGCUCUGUAGUGGUGACUGGGACUGUGGUCCAGAAGAGCGCUGUGUCAGCAAUGGCUGUGGCCACGUCUGUGCUUCAGGAUGAAGACUUACCCUAAGGGCCCCCUUUCUCUAGGAAUUGUUCAUUCCUUCCUAGAGUUCCUGUUUUCAAAGAUGUGACUAUUCGAAGGUCCUUGCCCAGGAAGACAGAUGAAGACAGGGACCUAUGGAUGGAGUGGGCAAAGGAUGCGGUUGGGGAG